UCUAUUAUCGAAUCAUGCAAAGUAUAAUUAAAGUUGUUGAGCAUGCGUUAGAAGUACUUCCUUUUCCUGCCUCCAUUUUUCCAAUUCGUUUUCCUUUCACUCUUGUGCCAUGGCGAUGAGUGGUUGUAAAUAAUAUUUCUCUUAAAAGUUACGAAACACUUGAGAUUGUUGACGAGCUCAGAAAGUUGGUAAUGUUUCAAGGCGAUAACUGAUGUCACUUGUUUAAUAGACGCCGCUAUUGUUGGAAAAAUCUUUUUUUUUUACCACAACCAAAUGGCGUUCUUAUUUUUAUCUAUACUGACUUAGACGUGAAUGUAAGUGUAUUAUUGGACAAAACAAAAUAGAAUUCCCAUUACCCUCAAUAUGAUUAUAUCAUAUACAAUACGAGUUUUCAAUGACGACAACUUUGUAUAAGGCAGACUAUGACUAUUUGUCUCCUAUCACAUAUAAUUUUUGUUUGUAUGGAUGGAAUUUAAUUAGAAAAUGUUAUUUACAGAA